rnacentral:lncRNA from 1 species
AUGAACAAACUGGAAUACAGAAAAGACUCCAUUACCUUGAGGCUGAUUGUCCUGGUUUCAGCUGAGACAGUGUGCAAAGCUCUCCAAUGUUGUGGGAGCACAGGCAGGACCACUCAGCAGGCCAGAGCCACUGCAUCUAUGGGGCAGCAGCAAGGGAGUGGCAGAGCCAGGACAGCUGCCCUGAAUUACACGAGAGAUUAUUGCAUACCAAGUGACAUCAUAGAGAAAGUCAUAAAGCCGCUGGGAGUUGGCUGGGGGCUGGCUGUUGAUCUGGAGGUGGGAAAUCAUCUCUGAGUGUCCAAGGCAGCAGACUGUACUCCUGCCUGAAUCCCAGCAGAUCUGAGCAGCAACAGCAUGUUUGUUCCCUUUCACUGGCUGAAGACCAAGAGGAAGAAGAACAUCUUAAGGAGGGAGUCCCACUGCCUCACCGCAGUCAGAACAGCCUUCAAACACCGAUGCCUGCCUUUCUACCUCACAUUUUGCCUUGGGGUCUAUGAGGAUCCAGCUGUGUUUAGAAAAGAAGGGCUUUCUCACGUCUUGUCAAACUCCCUCAGCACCUCUCUUCAUUUUCAGUUGGCAAACACGGCCCCUAACGCAGAACAAGGCCUGUCCUGUGAUCCCAUAGGCUCCCGUUAGCCAGCUGCCUGCCCGCCAGCAGAUGUGUUGGCACGAUCUGUGCAGCACUCUUCAUAUGCAACUGAUGCCCCAGUUUAGAACUCAGCAUCUCCUGAACAAUCUCCACUCCCCCCUCUCCCCCGAGGUUUUGCUGUUCACAUUUCACUUUCUAAACACCUCUCUAGGCCUCAAUCCCGGGUCAACUUCAGAAACUAAUUAGAAACGGCGAGGCCUCUCAGUCCUCCCACAAGUGAAUUUCAGUCAUCCUCUGUUUACUUUAAUAAUUUUUUUUUUUUUGCUAGAUUAACGGAACGUCUGUUCAUGUUUUGAUCCAUUACUUGGAAAAUUAAGCAAUUAAAACGGACAACAUCUGUGGACAGCGAUCUAUCAAACAGUUUCAGGAACUGAAGUGUAAAUUGAAGCCAACACCAAGAGCUGGAGGCUUAAUGUAUCCGCAGUGGGGAGCAAGGGGGAAGUAAAAGAGAGAGAAAGAGAACAGUCUUCACAGAACCCAAACCUUCUGGCAAGUAGGAAUGGGAAGAUAUUUAUAGGUGUGAUGAAGAAAAAGAAGAAACUAUUACAGCAGCUUUAGAAAAGGGAUAAAUUCAGAAGACUAAUUGUAUUGCAAUCUCUGCAGAACAAUGUACUCAUUUAAGAAAUGCAGCAUUACAGCAACAGAAUGCUGAUUUGGCUUUAGUGUGUCACUGAAUUUAAGCUAUGUGACACAAAUGCUGAGGUAUUUGGCAUUUUAAAAUGUUUUAGGAACAAAUGCAACAUUACUCAUGAACAAAGUCACCUCUUAAAACCAAACGUGAUUUUGCAUCACCUUUAGUAAGCAACUAGGUUGUAGACUGUUGACAACUGUUUGGUUUUUUUUUAAGAAUAAGCUUUAUUUUCUCUCUGCAAAAUUAAGAGGAAAUUACUGGUUCUCAUGGAUCUUAAUAAGAAUUAUAUCAAUAUUUGAUUUUUUUGUAUUAAUAAGUCCCUCUCAAAAGCAACAGAAGAACCAGUAUACUGAGCUGUAAUUUUAAGAGACAGCAAAGCAGUUAAAAGUAUCAAUACUAAGUAUAUAUGGUAAUAAAUAACCUGGUUUGGGUGGUAAAUAUUUAAAG